rnacentral:tRNA from 1 species
GGGGCCGUUGUUCCUGGUGAUCAGGCCGAUUUGCAAGCAGGAAGUCAGGGGUUCGAAUCCCCUAGGCUCCA